rnacentral:rRNA from 1 species
CCUACGGGUGGCUGCAGUGAGGAAUAUUGGUCAAUGGACGAGAGUCUGAACCAGCCAAGUAGCGUGAAGGAUGACUGCCCUAUGGGUUGUAAACUUCUUUUAUAUGGGAAUAAAAUGUUCCACGUGUGGGAUUUUGUAUGUACCAUAUGAAUAAGGAUCGGCUAACUCCGUGCCAGAAGCCGCGGUAAUACGGAGGAUCCGAGCGUUAUCCGGAUUUAUUGGGUUCAAAGGGCGCUAAGGUGGAUUGUUAAGUCAGUUGUGAAAGUUUGCGGCUCAACCGUAAAAUUGCAAUUGUUACUGGCAGUCUUGAGUACAGUUGAGGUAGGCGGAAUUCGUGGUGCAGCGGUGAAAUGCUUAGAUAUCACGAAGAACCCCGAUUGCGAAGGCAGCUUACUAAACUGUGACUGACAUUGAUGCUCGAAAGUGUGGGUAUCAAACAGGAUUAGAUACCCCUGUAGUC